GACGGAGAGGGCAAGCGUUGUCCGGACUCACUGGGCGUAAAGCGCACGUAGGCGGUUGAGUGCGUCGCUGCUGAAAGCGCCAGGCUUAACCUGGCGAGGCGUGGCGAUACGACUUGACUGGAGGCAGGCAGAGGGUGGCGGAAUUCCGGGUGUAGUGGUGAAAUGCGUAGAGAUCCGGAGGAACGCCUGUGGCGCAAGCGGCCACCUGGGCCUGACCUGACGCUGAGGUGCGAAAGCGUGGGGAGCGAACCGG
rnacentral:rRNA from 1 species